rnacentral:rRNA from 1 species
GGGUCAGUAGGUUGGUCGUGCCACCGGUACGUACUGGUCUCACUGAUUCCUCCUUCCUGAAGAACCGUAAUGCCAUUAAUUUGGUGUUGCGGGGAAACAGGACUGUUACUUUGAAAAAAUUAGAGUGUCUAAAGCAAACUAACGCUUGAAUACAUUAGCAUGGAAUAAUGAAAUAGGACGAUGGAUCCUAUUUUGUUGGUUUCUAGGAUUGACGUA